rnacentral:rRNA from 1 species
UGUAUGCGAGUCAUUGAGAUAAUAAAACUGAAAGGCGCAACGAAAGUGAAGGCGCGCGCUAGCCGCGUGCUCAGGGAGGAUGGAGCGUCGAUCUAGGUCGAUCUCUCGCACUCCCGAGGCGUCUCGUUUCCAAUCCGUGAAUGCAGGCGCGCUCUGAGCAUAAAUGCUGGGACCCGAAAGAUGGUGAACUAUGCCUGGUCAGGUCGAAGUCAGGGGAAACCCUGAUGGAGGACCGUAGCGAUUCUGACA